AAGGAGUCUAACAUAUCUGCGAGUAUUUGGGUGUCAAACCCGAGUGCGCAAUGAAAGUGAACGUAGGUGGGAACCCGCAAGGGUGCACCAUCGACCGAUCCUGAUGUCUUCGGAAGGAUUUGAGUAAGAGCAUGGCUGUUGGGACCCGAAAGAUGGUGAACUAUGCUUGAAUAGGGUGAAGCCAGAGGAAACUCUGGUGGAGGCUCGCAGCGGUUCUGACGUGCAAAUCGAUCGUCAAAUUUGGGCAUAGGGGCGAAAGACUAAUCGAACUAUCUAGUAGCUGGUUCCUGC
rnacentral:misc_RNA from 1 species